GCAUAUGGAGGUUCCCAGGCUAGAGGUCGAAUUGGAGCCAUAGCCGCUGGCCUACGCCAGAGCCACAGCAACGCGGGAUCCAAGCCACAUCUGCAACCUACACCACAGCUCAUGGCAACACCGGAUUGUUAACCCACUGAGCAAGGCCAGGGAUCGAACCUGCAACCUCAUGGUUCCUAGUUGGAUUCAUUAACCGCUGCGCCAUGACGGGAGCUCCGAGAAUGAUUCUUUGAAAGAGAAAGAAAUUUAAGUAAAACCUGGACUCAUCCUAGUCUCAAACUGAAGUGAAUAAAACCAAAUCCUCCAAGUUCUGUGAAAUGAUGUCUACCCAGUUCUCAUCUUUCAGAAACCUCCCCUGUCAUGACUGUAGACCCUUAUCUUAAACAUUCUAGGAUCUCAGCUGGUUUCUCCUGUCUCAGCAGCCACCAAGAAUCUGCUGAUUGUUUUGUCAGGAUGCCUCCUUCAUGGCAGGUUGGAAAAGUUCUUUGCUGAUACUUAUUUUCUUUUUCUUUUUUUUAGAGCCUCACCUGCAGCAUAUGGAAGUUUUUAGGCUAGGGGUUGAAUCGGAGCUACAUCUGCCACCUACACCACAGCUCAUGGCAACGCUGGAUCCUUAACCCACUGAGCAAGGCCAGGGAGAGAACCUGCAUCCUAAUGCAUACUAGUCAGGUUUGUUAACCGCUGAGCCACGGAGGGAACUCCCUCUGUUAUUUCUUUUAGGGCCCAUAACAUUGUUUCCGCAAAGCAUUUGGCUCUGCCACUUCUGUCUGUCCCCAUGACAUCCUGGUUGAGAUAAGCACCCUAUUUCCUGGCUGUAUCGCAAAUGCCAAUAAAAUGUUCAGCAUUCUGGCUUUAGUUUUCCCAGAAGAGGAAUUUACUUCUACAGGGAGUGAUCUGAAGGGAUCUUUAUUGUCUACUCUGCCCUGGAACUGUAAUUACCUAGUAGGGAAAACAGUGUCCUCUUCGCUCUAAACAUUCUCUCUUGCCCUCUCACCCUCCAGCAGGUUUGAUUUUUGCAGUUGUGAAGGGGUGGCAGGACCACAAUGAUAAAUGGAGACCUGGCUUCUAGAUCCAGCUCUGCUACUAACCAGGUGAAUUUGGACAUGUUAUUUGAAGUCCCUGGGUCUCAGUGUUCUCUGAGUUCUGCUUUCCUUCUGGUGGAUCUCUCCAGGAGGCCUCCUCUUCUUCCCCGUGGUGGUCCUUCUACUUAUCAGGACAGGACAAUUCAGUCUCCCUUCUGGUCUGGGCCUGCUGAGCCUGCUGGCAUCCCUUCUCUGCAGCUUCUUUGGGUUGUUCUAGGCAGGGAAGUGGGAGUAGAGGAGGGACAGCCUCUUUUAUGGAUGUGGCCUGGGUUCUUGGCAGUUGGGGGAUGAGGUGUGCCUCAGGUAACUAAAAUCUAAAAACCAGCUGCAGUGAUGUCAGACAAACAGCUGUCAACAAAGACCUUCCUUCAUUUAUGCAUUACAUGAUCCCCUUGGAGGCUGAGACUGGUGUCAGACCCGGCCCCCUCAACAUCCCUGAGAGUUCCCCUAUAACUCAGAGAUUUACACCUACUCUAUCUUUAGCACAGAGCCUUUGUCUUUGAGGCUCGGCUGGUUCAGGGCACUUUUAGGUAAGUAUAGGCAGUCUUCUUUCUUCAUGGGUUCCACAUCCCUAGAUUCAAGCAAUGAGUUGAAAAUAUUUGAGAAAAAAAUUUCAGAAAGUUCCAAAAGGCAAAACUUGAAUUUGCUGCGCCAGCAAAUAUUUACAUAGCAUUUCCAUUGUAUUUACAACAAUUUACACAGCAUUUGCGUUCUUUUAGGCAUUAUAAAUAAUCUAGAGGUGAUUUAAAGUAUAUGGGAGGAUAUGCUUUGGUUAUUUGCAAAUACUACAUCAUUUUAUAUGAGACUUGAGUAUCUGUGGUAUCCAAUGGGGUCCUGGAACCAAUAUCCCCAAUGCCCAGGGACAACUGUACACACUACCACAAGACUGUACACACUACCACUACCAGACCUGGCUGAAGAAGGAAAUGAAUCCCAAGCACUACAGCCAUGGAAGGGGUUCCGAAGUAGGGCUUAUCACUGCCUCUUUUUAGGGGAGCUGUGUGUAGAUACUUCCUACAUGGCUUGGGCACUCAUCUGCCUAUUCCCUCUCUGAAACGUAGUAAUAGGCAGUACUUAAAUUUUUUGAACCAUUGGCAUCUUUAAAAAUGAAAACUAGUAAUCAUAUCCCUUAAAACAAGAAAGAAAUAUGCAUAAUCUCAGGGAGCUCACGGACCUCUAAAAAUUCUAGGAUAAGUGUGAAUUUCAAGUUUGGAAUCCUGACUUAUAGGAUAUGCUACCUUUUGCAGUGAUUUCCUGACAGACUGGAAAGCACUGGCAUAUCUGCUUCCUCCUCUUAUCUGCCUCUUGCCUUUUCUUACAAUAGAACAGAAGCAAGUGGGAAUCUUCCACCGGAGCCACAUUCCUGACAUCUCAUCCUCAGAAGAACUUUACUUGCUGGGCCUGACUCCGCUACCUCCACUGCAGUUCCACAGCAGUGGUCAUGGUCACGGAGAAGCAUUUGGCAACCUCUGCAGGUGCAAAGCUCUUCUGCCUGGAAGUUCCUCUGCCUGGAAGCUCCUCUUUAUCUCCUUAGCUCAUCCCAUACUUCACGUCACAGCUUUUACAGGUGAUAUGCAGUUCCCUCCUCUACCAAGAUCUAGUCUGGUUCACAACCCCACUGUUUCCACCUACUGUGGCCUGUCUCAGCUUGCAUUAUGUGCUGUACCAGUGAGGACAGUCCCAUCAGCAAAUAAGUUCAGGGAGCACUGUAUUGCCUCUUGGAAGACCACAACACAUACCAGCUCAUCAACAGUUCUGAGAUGUCCUGCAUAAAGAAGUGCAAUUAUCCAAAUCUUUAGUUUAUUUGGCUGUGGGACACUUUCCACAAUAUCUAUCAACAUCUCGAGGAAGAGUUUGGGAAAUAUUGACCCAGAAAUACCAAAGGCAUAAAACUGUGAAUAAGACUCGAUGGGCCAAUCCAUCUUCAAAAGUCCUACUUAUCUAGCACUCUUUUCUCCUAUUACAAGGAAACUGGGUUUUCUCUGCCUGAAUUUCUCCAAAUUACACUUGGGGCAGAGUAAACAAAUACAAAUUACUUUCUCUUCCUGGAACACAAUUGUAAAACAUUCUUCUUCUUUUCUUUUUAGGGCCUCACCCACGGCAUAGGGUGGUUCCCAGGCUAGGGGGCAAAUCAGAGCUACAGCCGCUAGCCUACACCACAGCCAUGCCAGAUCCGAGUCACGUCUGCAACCUACACCACAGCUUACAGCAGCAUAUGAUCCUUAACCCACUGAAUGAGGCCAGGGAUCGAACCUGCAACCUCAUGGGUCCUAAUUGGAUUUGUUUCCUCUGUACCACCACAGGAACUCCCAUACAAUGUUAUUCUGGAAUCAGUCACCAUGGAGACUGUGAAUUUAACCUCUGGUUUUACUGGCUGUUUCUGACUUACCUACCUCCCUACUUCUGCAUGGUUCAUCUAUAUAACUGGCAACUAUUGGUUAGAGAUGAUAAAUUCAUCUUUUCAGAAACUCCAUCAAAGCAUUUUUUAAAAAGAUGUUGGAAUCCUUAACCCCAGUACCUAAUGUGAUCUUAAUUGUAGAUAGUCUAUACACAGGUUAAUAUAGUUAAAUAAAGUUGGGGUG
rnacentral:lncRNA from 1 species